CAGUCAUGGCAGGUGUGGUACCAGAAGGAUCCCAAUUUGAUGCUCGCCAGUAUGAUGCCAAAAUGAAUGAGUUACUUGGCAGUGAUGGAUCAGACUUCUUCACAUCCUAUGAUGAGGUUUUUGAGAGUUUUGAUGCUAUGGGAUUGCAGGAGAACCUCCUUAGAGGCAUCUAUGCUUAUGGUUUUGAGAAGCCCUCGGCAAUUCAGCAAAGAGGAAUUGUUCCCUUUUGCAAAGGACUUGAUGUGAUUCAACAAGCACAGUCUGGAACU